rnacentral:rRNA from 1 species
AAUAGCCGCAAUUUGUGCUAAGGUAGCAUAAUCAUUUGUCUUUUAAAUGAAGACUAGAACAAAAGAUUUAACAUUUCAAUUUAUUUAUUUAAUUUACUAUUCAAAAUUAUUCCAAAUGUAAAAAAAAAAAACAUUUCUAAAAAAGAAAGACGACAAGACCCUAUUGAACUUAGCUUAAGUUUAACUGGGGCAGUUAAUUAAUUAUUAUUUUAAUAAACUUUAUUAAUAUAUUAUCCAGUAUAAUUGAAUUAUUAAGUUACCAUAGGGAUAACAGCGCAAUUAUUUUUUAAAGUUYUUAUAUAAAAAAUAGAUUACGACCUCGAUGUUGAAAUAAUUAUYUAUUUUAAGCAAAUUUUUAAAAAGGAAGCCUGUUCGACUUUUAAAUUAUUACAUGAUUUGAGUUCAGACCGGUGUAAGCCAGGUCGGUUUCUAUCUUCUAUAAAGUUUCUUACAGUACGAAAGGACCUAAAAAUAUAAUUUAAUUAUUUAAUUGGCAGAAAAAUGCAUUAGAAUUAGAAUCUAACUAAACUUAUAUU